CCAGACUCCUACGGGAGGCAGCAGUAGGGAAUCUUCGGCAAUGGACGGAAGUCUGACCGAGCAACGCCGCGUGAGUGAAGAAGGUUUUCGGAUCGUAAAGCUCUGUUGUAAGAGAAGAACGAGUGUGAGAGUGGAAAGUUCACACUGUGACGGUAUCUUACCAGAAAGGGACGGCUAACUACGUGCCAGCAGCCGCGGUAAUACGUAGGUCCCGAGCGUUGUCCGGAUUUAUUGGGCGUAAAGCGAGCGCAGGCGGUUAGAUAAGUCUGAAGUUAAAGGCUGUGGCUUAACCAUAGUACGCUUUGGAAACUGUUUAACUUGAGUGCAAGAGGGGAGAGUGGAAUUCCAUGUGUAGCGGUGAAAUGCGUAGAUAUAUGGAGGAACACCGGUGGCGAAAGCGGCUCUCUGGCUUGUAACUGACGCUGAGGCUCGAAAGCGUGGGGAGCAAACAGGAUUAGAUACCCUGGUAGUCCACGCCGUAAACGAUGAGUGCUAGGUGUUAGACCCUUUCCGGGGUUUAGUGCCGCAGCUAACGCAU
rnacentral:rRNA from 1 species